GUAUUAUCAAAUUUACAAGAAUUUAAAAAUUCUUAGUUGAUUUGCAUGUCUUAUACUUGACUCAUUGGUGGCAUUUUUUCCAAAGAAAUAAACCACAAACUGAAACUCACUAAAUUACCAUGAAAUUUGCAAAGUACCAGAUGGAUGCAUUUUACAAUUUUGAAUUACCUUAAUUUAGCAAUAGUGUAGCUUACUCAUAACAUUGUAUUCAACUUGUAAAACAACUACUAGGGGACAGUUAUACAGUGGUUAUACAUGGUGGUUGCAGUGUUUGGUUUCAUAACAACCAACAAAACUCAUCUACAAGUCACUCUGUUCUCUGUAAUUAUUAAUUAUUUGAACAUUUAAUUUUUGUGUGAAAAGAAACUAACAUACACUUGAUAUUACAGUUGAGUCUUUUAGACAUUCAUAACCAGAAGUACUUGUCUGUAAUUUGAUGGCACGCAACAAAAUACUAGCUGUCAUUGGAAGAUUCUAAGUUAAUAAAAAAAAUUGAAACCGCCUGAUUAAAAGUAGGUACCCUUAUUUAUCAAUAUCUAUAAUUAUUCCUAUAUGGUAACAAUUAUAUUUUAUUUAGAUCUAACUGUUCAAAUGGUCCUGUUACUAUGAGUAAAUAGCAUUCUGAUUGUGCUGGGGAAAUUAAAAACAAUGCAUUAAUAAAAUAAAUAACAAAUUUACAAAUUUAUUCAGGG